UUUCCGUAGGUGAACCUGCGGAAGGAUCAUUAAUUAUAUAAGGCCACAGUGCAAGCUUUCCGAAAGGAUCGAGCUUGCUGUGUGAUCCCUCCCUACCCUUGCUUUUUGCGUACCCAUUGUUUCCUCGGCAGGCUUGCCUGCCAGUAGGACCCUCUUAAACCCUUUGUAAUUGCAGGCAGCGUCAGAAACAACGUAAUCGUAACAACUUUCAACAACGGAUCUCUUGGUUCUG
rnacentral:misc_RNA from 1 species